rnacentral:rRNA from 1 species
AGUGAACGCUGGCGGUAGGCCUAACACAUGCAAGUCGAACGGCAGCACAGUAAGAGCUUGCUCUUACGGGUGGCGAGUGGCGGACGGGUGAUGAAUACAUCGGAAUCUACUUUUUCGUGGGGGAUAACAUAGGGAAACUUACGCUAAUACCGCAUACGACCUACGGGUGAAAUCAUCGGAUCUUCGGACCUUGCGCGAUUGAAUGAGCCGAUGUCGGAUUAGCUAGUUGGCGGGGUAAAGGCCCACCAAGGCGACGAUCCGUAGCUGGUCUGAGAGGAUGAUCAGUCACACUGGAACUGAGACACGGUCCAGACUCCUACGGGAGGCAGCAGUGGGGAAUAUUGGACAAUGGGCGCAAGCCUGAUCCAGCCAUACCGCGUGGGUGAAGAAGGCCUUCGGGUUGUAAAGCACUUUUGUUUGGAAAGAAAAGCAGUAGGUUAAUACCCCGCUGUUUUGACGGUACCAAAAGAAUAAGCACCGGCUAACUUCGUG